UUGCUUCUGCAGCACAUAUACUAAAAUUGGAACAAUACAGAGAAGAUGAACAUCACCCCAACACAAGAUGACACACUCAUUUGUGAAAUAUUUCCAAUUUUU